rnacentral:rRNA from 1 species
CCUACGGGAGGCAGCAGUGAGGAAUAUUGGUCAAUGGGCGGGAGCCUGGACCAGCCAAGUCGCGUGAGGGAAGACGGUCCUAUGGAUUGUAAACCUCUUUAGGCGGGGAGCAAUGCCGGGCACGCGUGCCCGGAGGGAGAGUACCCGCAGAAUAAGCAUCGGCUAACUCCGUGCCAGCAGCCGCGGUAAUACGGAGGAUGCGAGCGUUAUCCGGAUUUAUUGGGUUUAAAGGGAGCGUAGGCGGGCCGUUAAGUCAGUUGUGAAAGUUCGGGGCUCAACCCCGGAAUUGCAGUUGAAACUGCCGG